ensembl:lncRNA
AGCCGUUGAAAGAAGAAGACGCUCCUCUUGAGACGCGAGUGUUCCGUUGGCGGCGGGGUGCGAACACGGGAGUCUCCCACCGGCCAAGCGGGAGAGAAACGAGACCCCCUUUUUUUGUUCGGUUCAGCAGCCGGGAAGAAGUCGCAUGGAUUUACUGAACACUUCCGCCAUUUUUCGGGCGACGCAGGACGCUUAGAAAACAAGUCAGUCAAUUCAGCACGUCCCAAGUGGGAGAUCUCGAUCUACCCGGCGGUGCUGCUAAUUAUGGGGACAUCCCAUCAGGUCUGUACUAUAAACCACAUUUUUGUCACUCCUGUUGACACAGAAAUACGCAAUGUCCUUUUGAGAGCGGCCGCCCCCACAAUCCCAAAUAGCAUUUGUUUGCAUUGCAUCUAACUAGCAACACCUCGGACCACAGAGUGAGUGUUUACCCGAGUCACAUCGAAUCCAACUUCAAGGUGGCUCACCAAACAAAUCUGCAAAGAAAAGAGGCGUUGGGUGUAUG